GAGUCGGUUAGACGAUCGCUUUUCAUUCGUGUUUACGCGUUUGGGGGGAGGAAAGUCCGGGCUCCAUAGGGCAGAGUGCCAGGUAACGCCUGGGGGGCGAGAGCCUACGGAAAGUGCAACAGAAAGGAUACCGCCUGGUUCGCCAGGUAAGGGUGAAAAGGUGCGGUAAGAGCGCACCGCGCGGCUGGUAACAGGCGUGGCGAUGGUAAACCCCACUCGGAGCAAGACCAAAUAGGAAUCCGUUAGCUGUGGCCCGCAGUGGAUUCGGGUAGGUCGCUACAGGCAGGUGGUGACACCUGUCGCAGAUGAAUGAUCGUCCACGACAGAACCCGGCUUAUCGACCGACUCUU
rnacentral:RNase_P_RNA from 1 species